rnacentral:rRNA from 1 species
GCUCAGAAACUACAAAGGAUGACGGGGGCCCGCACAAGGCGGUGGAGCAUGUGGUUUAAUUCGAAGCAACGCGAAGAACCUUACCAGGCCUUGACAUGCAGAGAACUUUCCAGAGAUGGAUUGGUGCCUUCGGGAACUCUGACACAGGUGCUGCAUGGCUGUCGUCAGCUCGUGUCGUGAGAUGUUGGGUUAAGUCCCGCAACGAGCGCAACCCUUGCCUUUAGUUGCCAGCAGUCCGGCUGGGCACUCUAAAGGGACUGCCGGUGUUAAACCGGAGGAAGGUGGGGAUGACGUCAAGUCCUCAUGGCCUUUAUGACCAGGGCUACACACGUACUACAAUGGCCGAUACAAAGGGCAGCGACACUGCGAGGUGAAGCCAAUCCCGUAAAAUCGGUCUCAGUCCGGAUUGGAGUCUGCAACUCGACUCCAUGAAGUUGGAAUCGCUAGUAAUCGUGGAUCAGCAUGCCACGGUGAAUACGUUCCCGGGCCUU